rnacentral:rRNA from 1 species
AAUGCAGCUCAAAAUGGGUGGUAAAUUUCAUCUAAAGCUAAAUACCGGCCAGAGACCGAUAGCGCACAAGUAGAGUGAUCGAAAGAUGAAAAGCACUUUGGAAAGAGAGUCAAAAAGUACGUGAAAUUGUUGAAAGGGAAGCGCUUGCAACCAGACCUGUCCGCCGGCGAUCAACCUCCGUUCUCGGGGGUGCACUCGUCGGCGAUCAGGCCAGCAUCGAUUCGAGCGGUCGGACAAAGGCCUUGGGAAUGUAGCUCCUCUCGGGGAGUCUUAUAGCCCUCGGUGCAAUGCGGCCAGCCCAGAUCGAGGACCGCGCUUCGGCUAGGAUGCUGGCGCAAUGGUUGUAAGCGACCCGUCUUGAAACACGGACCAAGGAGUCUAACAUCUAUGCAAGUGUUUGGGUGUCAAACCCAUACGCGGAAUGAAAGUGAACGGAGGUGAGAACCCACAAGGGCGCAUCAUCGACCGAUCCAGAUGUCUUCGGAUGGAUUUGAGUACGAGCAUAGCUGUUGGGACCCGAAAGAUGGUGAACUAUGCCUGAAUAGGGUGAAGCCAGAGGAAACUCUGGUGGAGGCUCGCAGCGGU